AUUGAACGCUGGCGGCAUGCUUUACACAUGCAAGUCGAACGGCAGCGCGGGCUUCGGCCUGGCGGCGAGUGGCGAACGGGUGAGUAAUGCAUCGGAACGUGCCCAGUAGUGGGGGAUAGCCCGGCGAAAGCCGGAUUAAUACCGCAUACGACCUGAGGGUGAAAGCGGGGGACCGAAAGGCCUCGCGCUAUUGGAGCGGCCGAUGUCGGAUUAGCUAGUUGGUGGGGUAAAGGCUUACCAAGGCGACGGUCCGUAGCUGGUCUGAGAGGACGACCAGCCACACUGGGACUGAGACACGGCCCAGACUCCUACGGGAGGCAGCAGUGGGGAAUUUUGGACAAUGGGGGCAACCCUGAUCCAGCCAUGCCGCGUGCGGGAAGAAGGCCUUCGGGUUGUAAACCGCUUUUGUUCGGGAAGAAAUCCUCUGAGCUAAUACCCCGGGGGGAUGACGGUACCGGAAGAAUAAGCACCGGCUAACUACGUG
rnacentral:rRNA from 1 species